GAGAGAGGAGAGGCAUUCACCCUGAGGAUGGCGCACGUAAACGUGGAAAGAUGCACACGUUGGAGCACAUUGGUCGCUGGUUCGUUCGACCAGCACGGAUGAUGCUCUCUCGGGGGUCGGGACAAGCUCCGGAGAAGCCCUCUCUGAUCGUGGCGGUCGUGCGGGGUUUGGAGCUUGCGCACUCCCCUCGAGAUCGUGGACUCGGUGCGCGGGGGGCGCGUGGCGGCACCGGGGGUGUCAGUCACGGCCCAUCUGCCUACCAUCGAGCACAUAACGUUUCGAGCCAUGAGGACGCAUCAGCUGCGGCUCGCAUCGCCUGGAAUGUAGUCGUUCGUAGAAGAGGA